rnacentral:sRNA from 1 species
UGGUGAUGUAGGUGCUGAAAUGAUAGA